rnacentral:sRNA from 2 species
CGCCCCGUCCUAGGGGAGUAGUCUCCCGCGAGCGCCCAGCUCGCCCGGUACGCGUCAACACACUUGGUCCGCAGAUCAUGGCGCGUGCGACCCAAGCCUGCAUCGUUCAGGCCCGGGUUUGACAAGACCUAU